GACGAACGCUGGCGGCGUGCUUAACACAUGCAAGUCGAACGGAAAGGCCCUGCUUGCCGGGUACUCGAGUGGCGAACGGGUGAGUAACACGUGGGUGAUCUGCCCUGCACUUCGGGAUAAGCCUGGGAAACUGGGUCUAAUACCGGAUAGGAGCCAUUUUUAGUGUGAUGGUUGGAAAGUUUUUUCGGUGUAGGACGAGCUCGCGGCCUAUCAGCUUGUUGGUGGGGUAAUGGUCUACCAAGGCGGCGACGGGUAGCCGGCCUGAGAGGGUGGACGGCCACAUUGGGACUGAGAUACGGCCCAGACGCCUACGGGAGGCAGCAGUGGGGAAGAUCGCACAAUGGGCGCAAGCCUGAUGCAGCGACGCCGCGUGGGGGAUGACGGCCUUCGGGUUGUAAACUCCUUUCGCUAGGGACGAAGCUUUUUGUGACGGUACCUAGAGAAGAAGCACCGGCUAACUACGUG
rnacentral:rRNA from 1 species